UCCGCUAGCUCAUUUCCCGGGAUG
rnacentral:piRNA from 2 species